rnacentral:rRNA from 1 species
GACGAACGCUGGCGGCGUGCUUAACACACGCAAGUCGAGCGGUAAGGCCCUUUCGGGGGUACACGAGCGGCGAACGGGUGAGUAACACGUGGGUGACCUGCCCUCAGCUCUGGGAUAAGCCUGGGAAACCGGGUCUAAUACCGGAUAUGACUCCAUGACGCAUGUUGUGGGGUGGAAAGCCUUGUGCGGCUGAGGAUGGGCCCGCGGCCUAUCAGCUUGUUGGUGGGGUGAUGGCCACCAAGGCGACGACGGGUAGCCGGCCUGAGAGGGCGACCGGCCACACUGGGACUGAGACACGGCCCAGACUCCUACGGGAGGCAGCAGUGGGGAAUCUUGCGCAAUGGGCGAAAGCCUGACGCAGCGACGCCGCGUGAGGGAUGACGGCCUC